rnacentral:rRNA from 1 species
UACGUAGGGUGCGAGCGUUGUCCGGAAUUAUUUGGGGCGUAAAAGAGCUUGUAGGCGGUUUUGUCGCGUCUGCUGUGAAAUUUCGGGGCUCAACCCCGAACUUGCAGUGGGUACGGGCAGACUAGAGUGUGGUAGGGGAGACUGGAAUUCCUGGUGUAGCGGUGAAAUGCGCAGAUAUCAGGAGGAACACCGAUGGCGAAGGCAGGUCUCUGGGCCACUACUGACGCUGAGAAGCGAAAGCAUGGGGAGCGAACAGG